rnacentral:rRNA from 1 species
UACGUAGGGUGCUAGCGUUGUUCGGAAUUACUGGGCGUAAAGCGCCCGUAGGCGGUGGCGUAUGUCAGAUGUGAAAGCCCUGGGCUUAACCUAGGAAUUGCAUUUGAAACUGCGCCGCUAGAGUCCGGAAGAGGGUAGUGGAAUUCCCAGUGUAGAGGUGAAAUUCGUAGAUAUUGGGAAGAACACCGGUGGCGAAGGCGGCUACCUGGGCCGGUUCUGACGCUGAGGUGCGAAAGCGUGGGGAGCAAACAGG